rnacentral:rRNA from 1 species
AUUGAACGCUGGCGGAAUGCUUUACACAUGCAAGUCGAACGGCAGCACGGACUUCGGUCUGGUGGCGAGUGGCGAACGGGUGAGUAAUACAUCGGAACGUGCCCAAUCGUGGGGGAUAACGUAGCGAAAGCUACGCUAAUACCGCAUACGAUCUAAGGAUGAAAGCGGGGGAUCGCAAGACCUCGCGCGAUUGGAGCGGCCGAUGGCAGAUUAGGUAGUUGGUAGGGUAAAGGCCUACCAAGCCGACGAUCUGUAGCUGGUCUGAGAGGAUGAUCAGCCACACUGGGACUGAGACACGGCCCAGACUCCUACGGGAGGCAGCAGUGGGGAAUUUUGGACAAUGGACGCAAGUCUGAUCCAGCCAUUCCGCGUGCAGGAUGAAGGCCCUCGGGUUGUAAACUGCUUUUGUACAGAACGAAAAGGCUCUGGUUAAUACCUGGGGCUCAUGACGGUACUGUAAGAAUAAGCACCGGCUAACUACGUGCCAGCAGCCGCCGUA